UGGGGAAUAUUGGACAAUGGGCGAAAGCCUGAUCCAGCCAUGCCGCGUGUGUGAAGAAGGUCUUCGGAUUGUAAAGCACUUUAAGUUGGGAGGAAGGGCAGUAAGUUAAUACCUUGCUGUUUUGACGUUACCGACAGAAUAAGCACCGGCUAACUCUGUGCCAGCAGCCGCGGUAAUACAGAGGGUGCAAGCGUUAAUCGGAAUUACUGGGCGUAAAGCGCGCGUAGGUGGUUUGUUAAGUUGGAUGUGAAAGCCCCGGGCUCAACCUGGGAACUGCAUCCAAAACUGGCAAGCUAGAGUACGGUAGAGGGUGGUGGAAUUUCCUGUGUAGCGGUGAAAUGCGUAGAUAUAGGAAGGAACACCAGUGGCGAAGGCGACCACCUGGACUGAUACUGACACUGAGGUGCGAAAGUGUGGGGAGCAAACAGGAUUAGAUACCCUGGUAGUCCACGCCGUAAACGAUGUCAACUAGCCGUCGGAAUCCUUGAGAUUUUAGUGGCGCAGCUAACGCAUUAAGUUGACCGCCUGGGGAGUACGGCCGCAAGGUU
rnacentral:rRNA from 1 species